AUUGAACGCUGGCGGCAUGCCUUACACAUGCAAGUCGAACGGCAGCACGGGGGCAACCCUGGUGGCGAGUGGCGAACGGGUGAGUAAUGCAUCGGAACGUGUCCUCUUGUGGGGGAUGACCAGUCGAAAGAUUGGCUAAUACCGCAUGAGAUCGCAAGAUGAAAGCGGGGGACCGCAAGGCCUCGCGCGAGAGGAGCGGCCGAUGCCGGAUUAGCUAGUUGGUGGGGUAAAAGCCUACCAAGGCGACAAUCCGUAGCUGGUCUGAGAGGACGACCAGCCACACUGGGACUGAGACACGGCCCAGACUCCUACGGGAGGCAGCAGUGGGGAAUUUUGGACAAUGGGCGCAAGCCUGAUCCAGCCAUGCCGCGUGUGUGAAGAAGGCCUUCGGGUUGUAAAGCACUUUCGGACGGAACGAAAUCGCGCGGGCGAACAUCCCGCGUGGAUGACGGUACCGUAAGAAGAAGCACCGGCUAACUACGUGCCAGCCGCCGCUGUAA
rnacentral:rRNA from 1 species